CCGCCUGUAGGGGGUCCCGGUGGAUGUCCGUCCGACGGGUGACGAGGGUGACCCCAGACGAGGCGGCUUAAUUGGGAUGGGAACUGACUGGUGAGGCUUAAUCGUCGACCAAUGGGUCGAAUCUGCAUAAGGAAGGCAACCAGCACACACUCGCAGGCGGGUCGUGGAAACAUUUUUUUUUCUCUUGGUCUGCCCCGCGUCGAAUUUUGAAGGCAGAAAAUGUCGGUAGGAGGCGAGCAUAACCAGGCCUAACUUAAACCUGUUAAAAGACAGCCCGGGUUCGCAGCGCGAUUUUAAAAAACUAAGAAGUCAGAAAUCUAUCUACAUGCUGCAUAUGAUCAGUCCCAAAAAAUUUCGGAUUGUUCCAGGCACCGUCGAAUACCUGGAAAACGUGUUGUGUAUUGUCAACUCUACAGGAUCGGCCGAAGUCCAUGGAGUUGGGGGCAUUCGAUGUGCCCCAUAGCAGUGAGACGCCACUGUUUUUUUCGCCGUACAAUUAUUAUGGUGGGACUGAAAAUGAACCUAAGCAAGAUGUGAUGGUGAUACAGUAUGGCUUGGAGAACUUCAAAAGUCGGUUCGCGUCGUGGUUCCAAAGCAGUAACUUUAGGUUCCCUACAUUUACAGAAUGUUGCAUUAAGUACUCAUUUUUUAAUUUGCAAUUUUUAUAUUUCAUUUUUACUUUUUUUCUUACUCUAUACAAGGCUUUAAUAUAAGUAUUUUAGCAAUAAUGGUAAUAAAAAAAUAACUCCAAAGAGA